CAACCAUCCAAAAUGACAAAAAACAAGAAUCAGAAGAAAAACAAGAAGCAAAUCCUAUCACCCACACGAAAACGAAAAUUGCAUAACAUUUUUUCAUUGAUUAUUCCUUCUUAUAACCACAAACAUCAUGUUUAUAACUCAAAUAAGCCCAGCCAACCUCCAAAAUAGUCUAAGACCAGCGAAAUUUUUAACUCAACUUGAUCUUCUUUUCAGAACCGCCUGUUAAGGAACGACGACUCUCAAUGUCAUCCCCUGUAGAGGAACGCCACCCGUUUUAUUUGCAAUCGACACUUGCAAAUUCCUUCGACUCUAGGAGGACUAGCUGCUUUUGAUGAGUCAAUACACGCUUUUACAAAGCGGCAAAUGAAGUGGCUGCACCGGUCCACAGUUCUUGCAGCUUGUUGCGGUCUCCAUCACUUUUUGUUAGCGUCUUCUUAGUCUUUUAUACAUGUUAGAAAUAUGACACUCUACCUUUUAAAGUGCAUAUAUCCACUCGAAAGUACAUAGAUUCCGUCAUUUCUUGUUUUCAAUGUUGCUGGUUAUUCACUCAUUUUCCUUUAUAUUCUUCUCACUGGAUUUUCCUUAGCGGGCAACUUAUAGCUAAUGUGGGCACAUGCGUGUAAAGGAGAAGAAAAGAGAAAUUUUAUUGCCUCGCAAUCACGUGACACGGGGAAGAACCAGUUUGGGGUAAAAUAAUCCAUCACAAAAAAUCAAUUGCAAGAUCUGCGACAGCACAAAAUCCCCGUGACAUGGGGUACUGCUUGGAUUAGCAGGAAACUAUAUACAAAAAAGCAUCACCAUCCUCUAUACAAGCUCUAAUUUUCAACUUCUGUGCAAUUUGAUUAUUCGAGGGGUACAGCUAAUGGCCAUGGUACAACUUCUGUGCAAUAUAUCACUAGUCCUGUUUGGCAUUCGUAAUACCUCACCUGAUUGUUCUUGUGAACAAAAAUGAAUAUGAUGGGCAAACCAAAUGGAACCAUGUAAUCUGGUGAUCCUUGGAAGUGGCUAUGAUAUUUUUAAUUUCAUCAUAGCUGGUACGAAUAAUCAACGGCUUCAUAUUGAUGAAGCCAAGAAUGUGCUAUGCAGGUGGAGCACGCAUCUUCUCGUUGAGACCCAGCAAAAGAUCCCGGAGCUCAGGGAAAACUGAUAUAACUAAUAGUU